GACGAACCGUGCAAACGUUGUUCGGAAUCACUGGGCUUAAAGGGCGCGUAGGCGGGCCAGCCAGUCUGUGGUGAAAUCCUUCAGCUUAACUGGAGAAGUGCCGUGGAUACUGCUGGCCUCGAGGAGGGUAGGGGCAUCUGGAACGGUCGGUGGAGCGGUGAAAUGCGUUGAUAUCGACCGGAACUCCGGUGGCGAAGGCGAGGUGCUGGACCCUUUCUGACGCUGAUGCGCGAAAGCCAGGGGAGCAAACGGG
rnacentral:rRNA from 1 species